ensembl:lncRNA
CCGACUCUGUGCGACCCCAGAGACGGCAGCCCACCAGGCUCCCCCAUCCCUGGGAUUCUCCAGGCAAGAACACUGGAGUGGGUUGCCAUUUCCUUCUCCUAAGUAAUUUUUUGCUUGUUCAUUAAUUAUGUAUUUAUAUAUACAUAUAUAUUUACACAUGAGUUUCUCACACACACAUAGACCUUGUAUAUACCUUCUUAUCUGAGUAGAUAUAUUCAUUUGGGUUCACCAACACUCCAUUCAUAGAGACAUAAAACAUCAUUCAACAUGGCAGCUUGUUUCCAUAGACACCCAGCAACCCAUUCAUAGGGAAGAAACCUUUCAGUCUUGUUUCUAAAUCCUAUUAACAGGGACAGUUACUUGUAUUCUAAUACUCCAUAUACAUCACUUGUGUUCGCAAACACUUCAUUCAUGGAUACAAACACGUCACUCGUUCUGAUUAGAUACACUCGUCAUUACACCAACAUUCAAUUCAGAGAUAAGUAAGCAAUCAUUCAGCUAUACUCUUGAGUAGAUAUAUUCAUUUCCAUUUUAGCCACAUUUUAUUCCAGAUUCAUAGUAUGUGUUAUAUAGAUGUUUCCUUUCAGUAGACAGCUUUUUUUCCCCCCUUCUUUUUGGCUGCACUUUUUGUGGGACCUUAGUUCCCUGACCAGGGAUUGAAGCCAGGCUUCUUGCAGUGAAAGCACGGGGUCCUAACACAUGAACCACUAGGGAAUUCCUGACACCUUUUUUGUUUUCUACCAACAUGCCAUUUAGACAUAUUUUCUAUUGCUCACUUUUGUAUAUAAAUCCUUCCUUUUAGUAGAUACACUCAUUUAGAUUCACAAACUCUUCAUUCAUGGAGAUAUAAAAGAUAUAUUCAAUUAUGUAUAUAGAAAUUUCUUAUGUUGAAAUAUUUUCUUCUAUAUUCUAUUUUCCUAUUAUAGAUACGUAGCAUAUAGCUGAGUUGGGUGUGUAUAGUUGUUCCCACUCUACAGUAGUUUAUUCUCAAAGAUACCAAUCAUUCUUGUAUUCAGAUAUUUCCUGAGUAAAUUGUUUUAUACAAACUG